rnacentral:rRNA from 1 species
GAUGAACGCUGGCGGCGUGCCUAAUACAUGCAAGUCGAGCGAACAGACGAGGAGCUUGCUCCUCUGACGUUAGCGGCGGACGGGUGAGUAACACGUGGAUAACCUACCUAUAAGACUGGGAUAACUUCGGGAAACCGGAGCUAAUACCGGAUAAUAUAUUGAACCGCAUGGUUCAAUAGUGAAAGACGGUUUUGCUGUCACUUAUAGAUGGAUCCGCGCCGCAUUAGCUAGUUGGUAAGGUAACGGCUUACCAAGGCAACGAUGCGUAGCCGACCUGAGAGGGUGAUCGGCCACACUGGAACUGAGACACGUCCCAGACUCCUACGGGAGGAAGCAGUAGGGAAUCUUACGCAAGGGACGAGAGCCUGACGGAGCACCGCCGCGGGAGUGAUGAAGGUCUUCGGAUCGGAAAACUCUGUUAGUAGGAAAGAACAAAUGUGUAAGUAACUAUGCACGUCUUGACGGUACCUAAUCAGAAAGCCACGGCUAACUACGUG